rnacentral:rRNA from 1 species
AGAGUUUGAUCAUGGCUCAGGAUGAACGCUGGCGGCGUGCCUAAUACAUGCAAGUCGAGCGAACUGAUUAGAAGCUUGCUUCUAUGACGUUAGCGGCGGACGGGUGAGUAACACGUGGGCAACCUGCCUGUAAGACUGGGAUAACUUCGGGAAACCGAAGCUAAUACCGGAUAGGAUCUUCUCCUUCAUGGGAGAUGAUUGAAAGAUGGUUUCGGCUAUCACUUACAGAUGGGCCCGCGGUGCAUUAGCUAGUUGGUGAGGUAACGGCUCACCAAGGCAACGAUGCAUAGCCGACCUGAGAGGGUGAUCGGCCACACUGGGACUGAGACACGGCCCAGACUCCUACGGGAGGCAGCAGUAGGGAAUCUUCCGCAAUGGACGAAAGUCUGACGGAGCAACGCCGCGUGAGUGAUGAAGGCUUUCGGGUCGUAAAACUCUGUUGUUAGGGAAGAACAAGUACAAGAGUAACUGCUUGUACCUUGACGGUACCUAACCAGAAAGCCACGGCUAACUACGUGCCAGCAGCCGCGGUAAUACGUAGGUGGCAAGCGUUAUCCGGAAUUAUUGGGCGUAAAGCGCGCGCAGGCGGUUUCUUAAGUCUGAUGUGAAAGCCCACGGCUCAACCGUGGAGGGUCAUUGGAAACUGGGGAACUUGAGUGCAGAAGAGAAGAGUGGAAUUCCACGUGUAGCGGUGAAAUGCGUAGAGAUGUGGAGGAACACCCAGUGGCGAAGGCGACUCUUUGGGUCUGUA